rnacentral:tRNA from 1 species
GGUCGCGUUGCAUAAUGUAUAAGGCGUCAGACUUCGGAUCUGAAGAAAGUAUGUUCGAUUCUCACCGUGGUCG